rfam:Candidate division TM6 bacterium GW2011_GWE2_41_16 TT47_C0021, whole genome shotgun sequence.
GAUUAAUUUUAAAGGGCUUUUGGUGGAUGCCUUGGCAUCAAGAGGCGAUGAAGGAGGCGUGAGACUGCCAUAAUCUUCGGGGAGCUGUCAACAGAGCUUUGAUCCGAAGGUAUCCGAAUGGGGAAACCUAAUCUGAAGAACUCAGAUUAUCUUUAUCAGAACACAUAUGGUAAAGAAGCGAACGGCAUGAACUGAAACAUCUCAUUAGUGCCAGGAAUAGUAAACGAAGUGAUUCCCUCAGUAGUGGUGAGCGAACGGGGAAAAGCCUAAACAUGCGGCGUGGUCAAGUGAGCACACGUUGCGACGCAUGGGUUGUGGGGUUUGAUGUUCUGAGUGUGCUUACUCAGACUUGUUAUUGUCCUGUUAGUUGAAUUGCCCUGGAAAGGGUAGCCAAAGAAAGUGAUAGCCUUGUAAGCGAAAACAGCAGACAAUUCAAGAUUCAAAAACCCGAGUACCGUAGAGCACGUGAAAUUCUGCGGGAAUCUGCCCGGACCAUCGGGUAAGGCAAAAUACUUCUUGAUGACCGAUAGUGAACGAGUACCGUGAGGGAAAGGUGAAAAGAACCCCGGGAGGGGAGUGAAAUAGACACUGAAACCAAUUGUCUACAAUCGGUGGAAGCGAUGUAUACGUACGCGCAACCACGUACCUUUUGCAUAAUGAGCCAACGAGUUAUUGUAUGUUGCGAGGUUAAGCUUAGAAAGAGCGGAGCCGUAGCGAAAGCGAGUUCGAAUAGAGCGUUUAGUAGCAUGCGAUAGACCCGAAACCUAGUGAGCUACUCAUGUCCAGGAUGAAGUUUCUGUUAUAGGGGAUGGAGGUCCGAACCGGUGUAGGUUAAAAACUGCUCGGAUGAGGUGUGAGUAGGAGUGAAAGGCUAAUCAAACUGGGAGAUAGCUGGUUCUCCCCGAAAUAUAUUUAGGUAUAGCCCUGCAUGAUUCAGCGCGGCGGUAAAGCACAGUUGGAGUUUUAGGGGCGCAAGCUUACUGGAUUCUUACUAACUCUGAAUGCCGCGUUGUUAGAAAGCAGGAGACAGACUGCGAGAGAUAAGUUCCGUAGUCGAGAGGGAAACAGCCCAGACCAUCAGUUAAGGUCCCAAAAUGUCUGUUAAGUGGUAAAAGAUGUGAGAAGACAUAAACAGCCAGGAUGUUGGCUUAGAAGCAGCCAUCAUUUAAAGAAAGCGUAACAGCUCACUGGUUUAGUCUUUUUGCGCUGAAAAACGAACGGGGCUAAACAGACUACCGAAGCUAUGGCUUGCGCAUGUUUACAUGUGCAGGGGUAGGGGAGCGUUCUCUGCCAGAUACGAGCUCAACCGUGAGGAUGGGUGAUGGGGCAGAGAAGUGAUGAUGUUGGUAUAAGUAACGAAAAAAUGGGUGAAAAUCCCGUUCGCCGUAAGUCUAAGGUUUCCGAAAAGAGAGCGGUUCAUCCACUCAGGGUUAGUCGAUCCCUAAGCCGAGGCCAAUUGGAGUAGGCGAUGGACAACAGGUUAAUAUUCCUGUACCGCAUAUAAGCGUUUGUAGCAAUGGGGUGACGCAGGAGGAUAGGUUAUGUUGGAAUUUGGAUUGCCAACUUAAAUGCAAAGAGGGAUGCUCUAGGUAAAUCCGGAGUGUCGUUAACCUUGAUGUAUGACGAGCAUGCUUUGCCUUCGGGUGUUGUGUGUAUAACUGAUUUCACGCUGACUAGAAAAACCUCUCGUGAGCUCAAUGUGCGAUCGUACCGUAAACUGACACAAGUAGACGAGCUGAAAAUGCUAAGGCGUUGAGAUAACUAUCAUUAAGGAACUCGGCAAAAUAGCCUCGUAACUUCGGGAGAAGAGGUGCCCACAGUGUUACCAUUAAAACGGAAAGCAUUGUUGGGUUUCAACAAAGAGGUCCAAGCGACUGUUUAACAAAAACACAGGGCAAUGCAAACUCGUAAGAGGAAGUAUAUUGUCUGACGCCUGCCCAGUGCUGGAAGGUUAAUAGGAGAUGUCAGCCGUAAGGCAAAGCGUUGAAUUGAAGCCCCAGUAAACGGCGGCCGUAACUAUAACGGUCCUAAGGUAGCGAAGUCCCUUGUCGGGUAAGUUCCGACCUGCAUGAAUGGCGUAACGACUUGGACGCUGUCUUGAUGAUAGACUCAGUGAAUUUGUAGUAGGGGUGAAAAUGCCCCUUACCCGUAGAUGGACGGAAAGACCCCGUGCACCUUUACUGCAACUUGACGUUGAUUUUUGGGUUGAUAUAUGUAGCAUAGGCGGGAGGCUUUGAAGUGUAGGCGCUAGCUUACAUGGAGCCAAAGGUGAAAUACCGCUUUUAUUUGCUUGAAAAUCUAACUUCGACCCGUAAUCCGGGCGGAGGACAGUGUCUGGUGGGCAGUUUGACUGGGGUGGUCGCCUCCUAAAUUGUAACGGAGGCAUUCAAAGGUUCCCUCAAGACGAAUAGAAAUCGUCGGUAGAGCGUAAAUGCACAAGGGAGCUUGACUGUGAGACAUACAAGUCGAACAGGUGCGAAAGCAGGAAUUAGUGAUCCAAUGGUGCCAUAUGGAAGGGCCAUUGCUAAAUGGAUAAAAGGUACGCCGGGGAUAACAGGCUGAUCUCCUCUGAGAGUCCACAUCGACGAGGAGGUUUGGCACCUCGAUGUCGGAUCAUCGCAUCCUGGGGCUGGAGAAGGUCCCAAGGGUUUGGCUGUUCGCCAAUUAAAGCGGUACGUGAUCUGGGUUCAGAACGUCGUAAGACAGUUCGGUCCUUAUCCUCUAUGGGCGCAGGAUAUUUGAGGAGGGUUGUUCCUAGUACGAGAGGACCGGAAUGAGUGAGCCUCUGGUGUUCCAGUUGUUUACCACAAGCAACGCUGGGUAGCUAAGCUCAUAAGAGAUAACCGCUGAAAGCAUCUAAGCGGGAAGCUCGCUCCAAGAUAAGAUAUCCCUCUUCUGGCGUAAGCUGGAAGGUAAGAUCCCUUGAAGACCACAAGGUUGAUAGGCUGGGGGUGUACGCACAGUAAUGUGUUUAGCUGACCAGUACUAAUAGAUCGAGAGUUUUAAUCAU